rnacentral:lncRNA from 1 species
UGUGUAAUUCAAUCAAUAUUUAAAGCAAAAAAAGGAACAAUAUCACUUUUUAUUUUUUUAGAUUUUAUUUUUUUAUUUGAGAGAGUGAGAGCACAAGAGAGAAAGAGAGAGAGAGAGAGAGAGAGAGAGAGAGAGAACGCAAGCAGGGGGGAGUGGCAGGUCAGCCCAGAGUGGGACUCCAUCCCAUGAUCUUGGGAUCAUGACCUGAGCCGAGGACAGACGCUUAACUGAGUGAGCUAUCCAGGUACCUGAUAAUAACACAAAUAUUUAAAAAAUCGAUAAUCUAUUUAUAUGAGAAUAUUGAUAAAAUAGGUAAAGUAGAAAAUAUGCAUAUGGUGUUUCUUUUGCUUUCUGUCCUUAUUUGUGAUCCAUUGGCCUUUUCAUGAGUAAUGAAACAGUGUGAUGGUCUCUAAAUAUAGGCUCAAAGGAUGCUGGCCUUAAGAGGUCACGUUUGUUUCCACAGCUCUUUAAGUUGGACCUGUGAUUUGCUCUGCCCACAGAAUGCAGCGGAAGUGAUGCUGUUCCGGUUCUAACACUAGGCCUUGAGAAAUCUCCAAGCUUCCAUCCUCAUUCUAGGAAUUAUGAUGGAGAGUGAAAAUCCAUGUGGAAAGGGGCCCCCCGCUGUGUCUGCCUUCUCAGCCACCACAGCUGAGGCUCAUACGUGUGUGUGAACCCGGAUAAGAAUAGGGGUCCCUCCGCAGGGUGGCUCGCAUACCUGGAGUGUUUGUAUUUGGUGGACAACUCUUUCUACUUCAGAUCUCUUAUUCACUGGUACAUACCUCCUAGGAGUAAGGGUGAGUUCCAGUUCCAGCCCCCAGUCCAUGUCUGGAAGCUCCAUUCCCUCCGCCUCUGGCCAUGGUGCCCUCUUUGCUUUGUGAUUUCAGUGUCCUCAUUUUUCAAGAUCCUCUUUCCCAUGUGGCUCAUCUCAAAGCUCCCAGCCCUUCCCCUAAGACUUCAGUAUACCUGGAACCUAAUUGUGGUCAGGCUUAAAAUCUUGCCUCUCCAUGGGGCCCCACUUCCUACUCCAUGCAAAGCC